UACGAAGGGGGCUAGCGUUGCUCGGAAUUACUGGGCGUAAAGCGCACGUAGGCGGCUUUCUAAGUCGGGGGUGAAAUCCUGGAGCUCAACUCCAGAACUGCCUUCGAUACUGGAGAGCUUGAGUCCGGGAGAGGUGAGUGGAACUGCGAGUGUAAGAGGUGAAAUUCGUAGAUAUUCGCAAGAACACCAGUGGCGAAGGCGGCUCACUGGACCCGGGUACUGAC
rnacentral:rRNA from 1 species